rnacentral:lncRNA from 1 species
AAAGGGUAGAAUUAGCCACGCAUACUUCUAUCACCUUCCAUUCUCCCAAUUGGGUUACAAUUCACUCUAUGGUGUUUUCCUCUCAAUCUGGCACCCUAAGGUUGAGCCUCUAGCCCUCUAUUUAUCCUAGUUUUCUAGGGUUAGGUUGUUUAUUGUGUCGCGCUAAUGGGCUAAAUGAUAAAACACAUAAAAAAGGCCCAAUCUUUCUUUGCAUCUUUUUCAUUCUGGGACCUUCUAUCUUUAUCUUUUAAGCUCAAAUCAUUCAUCUUUAAUCCAAAUCUCCAAUCUUCCUUAGAAAUCUGCAAUUAACACCAAAUUUG